GGCCAUAGCUCAGUGGUAGAGCAUGCAGAAGGUCUUGGGUUCAAUCCCUGACAUCUCCA
rnacentral:tRNA from 1 species